rnacentral:rRNA from 1 species
AGGAUUAACGCUGGCGGCGUGCCUGACACAUGCAAGUCGAACGAGGCCGCAAGGCCGAGUGGCGGACGGGUGAGUAACACGUGACCAACCAACCUCGAAGUUGGGAAUAGCUCUGCGAAAGUAGGGGUAAUACCGAAUGUGGCCCAGGGCGGGCAUCCGCCUUGGUCUAAAGAUUCAUCGCUUCGAGACGGGGUCGCGGCCUAUUAGCUUGUUGGUGAGGUAACGGCUCACCAAGGCGAUGAUGGGUAGCUGGUCUGAGAGGACGACCAGCCACACUGGGACUGAGACACGGCCCAGACUCCUACGGGAGGCAGCAGUGAGGAAUCUUCCGCAAUGGGCGAAAGCCUGACGGAGCAACGCCGCGUGAGUGAUGAAGACCUUCGGGUUGUAAAGCUCUGUCGGAGGGGAAGAACACAAUGACGGUACCCUCCAAGAAAGCCCGGCUAACUACGUGCCAGCAGCCGC